rnacentral:rRNA from 1 species
ACGGCGAGUGAAGCGGCAAAAGCUCAAAUUUGAAACCCUCGGGAUUGUAAUUUGAAGAUCAAGCAUUGGGAAAAGCUAACCCAAGUUACUUGGAAUAGUGCGUCAGAGAGGGUGAGGACCCCGUAUGGCUAACCGUUUCCCGUGUAUUGCUAGAUCAAAGAGUCGAGUUGUUUGGGAAUGCAGCUCAAAAUGGGUGGUAAAUUCCAUCUAAAGCUAGAUAUUGGCGAGAGACCGAUAGCGAACAAGUACCGUGAGGGAAAGAUGAAAAGCACUUUGGAAAGAGAGUUAAACAGUACGUGAAAUUGUUAAAAGGGAAACGAUUGAAGUCAGUCGUGUUUAUUGGAUUCAGCCGGUCUUCGGUGUACUUCCUUUAAACGGGUCAACAUCAGUUUUGUUCGGUGGAUAAAGGUAUUAGGAAUGUGGCUUCUUCGGAAGUGUUAUAGCCUAGUAUUGCAUACACUGGAGGAGACUGAGGACUGCAGCUCGCCUUUAUGGCCGGGGUUCGCCCACGUUCGAGCUUAGGA